GCUGGAAUUGGUAGUCGCUGGGGAUAUAAUGUAGGCAUCGGCACCGAAAGGAACAAGCAAGAGUCACUUCAAUCGCUACAAGCAAGAGGAAGAGGCAGGAAUGGAGAGUUCUUUAGAAAAGGUACACAAGCAAUCGCCACAGGAACCGGUAUAUAUGAGUAAUCGUAAUGCACGCAAUCAAAGGAACCGUAAACUGGAUCUCCUUCGCUUCGUCCCCUCCACCGAAACCGCCAGUUUACAA
rnacentral:misc_RNA from 1 species